rnacentral:rRNA from 1 species
GACAGAGGUCCCGAGCGUUAGGCGGAAUCACUGGGCUUAAAGCGUGUGUAGGCGGAUCGUUAAGUACCUUGUGAAAUCCCACGGCUUAACCGUGGAGCUGCUUGGUAUACUGGCGAUCUUGAGCCACUUAGGGGCUACCGGAACAAAUGGUGGAGCGGUGAAAUGCGUAGAUAUCAUUUGGAACGCCAAUGGUGCAGACAGGCUGCUGGGGAUGUACUGACGCUGAGGCACGAAAGCCAGGGGAGCGAACGGG